rnacentral:rRNA from 1 species
AUACAUAGGGGGCAAGCGUUGUCCGGAAUUACUGGGCGUAAAGGGCGCGUAGGCGGCGCUUCAAGUCGUCUGUCAAAUGGGAGGGCUUAACCCUUUUUCGCAGACGAAACUGGAGAGCUUGAGAAGCAGAGAGGCAAACAGAAUUCCUGGUGUAGCGGUGAAAUGCGUAGAUAUCAGGAAGAAUACCAGUGGCGAAGGCGGUUUGCUGGCUGCAUACUGACGCUGAAGCGCGAAAGCCAGGGGAGCAAACGGGAUUAGAUACCCUGGUAGUCCACGCCGUAAACGAUGAGCACUAAGUGUCGGAUGAAUUUUCGGCGCUGCAGUUAACACAAUAAGUGCUCCGCCUGGGGAGUACGGUCGCAAGACUGAAACUUAAAGGAAUUGGCGGGG